rnacentral:rRNA from 1 species
UCAAAUUUGAAAUCUGGCUCUUUCAGGGUCCGAGUUGUAAUUUGUACAAGAUGCUUCGGGUGUGGCUCCGGUCUAAGUUCCUUGGAACAGGACGUCUUAUAGGGUGAGAAUCCCGUAUGUGACUGGUUGCCUUCACUCAUGUGAAGCUCUUUCGACGAGUCGAGUUGUUUGGGAAUGCAGCUCUAAAUGGGUGGUAAAUUUCAUCUAAAGCUAAAUAUUGGCCAGAGACCGAUAGCGCACAAGUAUAGUGAUCGAAAGAUGAAAAGCACUUUGGAAAGAGAGUUAAACAGUACGUGAAAUUGUUGAAAGGGAAGCGCUUGCAACCAGACUUGCAUUCCGUCGAUCAUCCCCCGUUCUCGGAGGUGCACUCGGCGGAGUUCAGGCCAGCAUCGGUUUCGGUGGUGGGAUAAAGGCCUUGGGAACGUAGCUCCUCUCGGGGAGUGUUAUAGCCCUCGGUGCAAUGCCGCCUACCGGGACCGAGGACCGCGCUUCGGCUAGGAUGCUGGCGUAAUGGUUGUAAGCGACCCGUCUUGAAACACGGACCAAGGAGUCUAACAUCUAUGCGAGUGUUUGGGUGUCAAACCCAUACGCGUAAUGAAAGUGAACGGAGGUGAGAACCCUUUAGGGUGCAUCAUCGACCGAUCCUGAUGUCUUCGGAUGGAUUUGAGUAAGAGCAUAGCUGUUGGGACCCGAAAGAUGGUGAACUAUGCCUAAAUAGGGUGAAGCCAGAGGAAACUCUGGUGGAGGCUCGCAGCGGUUCUGACGUGCAAAUCGAUCGUCAAAUUUGGGUAUAGGGGCGAAAGACUAAUCGAACCAUCUAGUAGCUGGUUCCUGCGAG